ensembl:lncRNA
UGAAGAUUUAUUCUAGCAGGUAAGUUGUUAUUGUGCAUUACAAUUACUUGUAUAAUCAUUGUUUAUAUUAUAAUUACUGUAACAGACAUACAGACAUUCCAACUGAGAAUUUAUUUUAGUAUAUUAAUUGUAUUAGUAUUAUUUGAAACUGAAAUGGAAAACAUUUGGUUCAUUCAGUUCCAAAAAUGGAGACAAGUUUUAUCCAUUUUUGAUUUCCCUUUCUUCCUUCUUAAAGCUAAAAUGAGAAAGAAAAAUGUGAAAAAGGUCAAAGGUCACUGAUUAAAGAAAAAGUCUUCAUACUGUAUAUACUAAAAAUCUCCUUAUAAACCAGUCCCAGGGUAAAAAUGUAGCUCCUUAAUAAUAAUAUCAAUAAAAUCUGAUGCUGUUAUCGAGCAUUUGAAUAUGUUAAUAUACAUAUCUGAAUAUGUUAAGAUUAUGUUAUAUGUUCAUUUCCAUUCUGAUUUUAGACAGUCUCCCUCUCAAACUUAUUUUUGGUGUGUUUCAUUAUAACAGACAGGCAACUGAAAUCUAUAUGUGGUCACAACUUCCAUACCAUAAAAGAUUUUACGGUUAUCAAUGUGUUAUUUUUAAUAUGUUUAGAGAAGUCAUUAGCUUUUCAUUUCUAUGGACUGUCCAUUACAGUAACAUUUCUCUUUGAUAUUUUCAUUUCACUUUGUCCCAUCAGUGUCCCUCGUUCUUCACUCAUCAGCUUUAGGAUUAACAGGGCAUGUUUGGACCCGCAGCUCUAGAGUCAAUCAUUAAACACACAUGCACACAUGCAUCACCUCUGAGCCAACACAAACUAUCCCACAAUCCCUAGACAGCAGAAGCGAGUGUCAGAAGGGAUGGGACUGUAUUUGCCCUCAUUCCUAAGAGGAAUCAGGUGCUUUCUGUCACCUGGGUUACCGGAUCUCCAUGGAUGUCACAACCAACCCGCUGCCUGAACUGAGUGGCACGGCCCCACCGAGAUCUGCCCCAAUCUGAUCUGGAGUCAGUCAGCUGGAUGUCACUCCCAGUCUUUCUAAGAGUAGAGGGAGAAAGUCACAGAUGAAGACCAGAUGAAUACAGUUGAGCUGUUGAAACACCUUUAGAAUGAUGGAACACAACAUGAUUUUGGAAAAUAAACCGAUCGAGGACGACUGCCAUCUAAAAUGCAAGCGACACCUCAUCAGUUUGUUCGGUGAAUCAGCUGCAGAGUAUUUUCUCAGCCCUUCCUCUUGCUCGAAGGAAAUACCCUCUUGGUUUUUACAGCUAAAAGAUGACAUGAAAGUCUGCUGUCUGUUAUUAGAUCACAUGAGUACAGUUACCCUAUGGGAUGCUCUGAGACAACGCUCUGCACAGAUACUGCAAGAAUCAAACACAGAGCCCUCGAUGGCGAUUACUAAUGAGAUUGUGAGAAGGGUGACAGACUGGAAGACACUCAAGAAACAGGAUCAUCUGAUGUACCUAUCAGAGGUGAAAUACAUGUUCCGCUGUGCUCAGCGUAACCAGGCCAUCUCUGCACUCCUUCUACAACAUAACCCUCUUUUUGACUAUGGGUUAAAUAAUGGACUGAACUGAUUCCUGUCUAUUAUGCAGAAUCAACCAAAUGGUGAGGUGAAACAUCAACACAAGGGGAGUGUUGAAAUCAGGGAUAUGUCUCAGAUGAGCAAGACAUUUAGGACAUAGGCAAACUGUAUUUUUUUUCUGUAACUUUUAAUGUUCAGUUGCCCCAUUUAAAAACUUGCACAGGCUUGAUAAAUGAGUCAGUUAAUGUGAUGCACUGUAGUAGGCAUUUGUACUUGCCCUUCCCUACCAUCGGAGGGCAGCAGAUUGUGAAUUUGGCUUUUAAUCUUAUUACCGAAAUAAUUCUUUUUCUCUAGCACUCAUCUGGUUUUUGCUUCAGGACCCAGACUGUACUUAUCCAACACAUAUAUAAAAACAAUAUUAUAACCUGUAUAUAUUGCCAUCUGUGUCAUAUUUUAUUGUGUGCAGUUAGACUUGAUAAGCAUAUUUUGUUUGAUAUUUAAUCUUGCUAUUAUAUUUUAUGUUUUUGAUUUUUGCAUUUAGCAUUGUUUUGUUUUUUU